rnacentral:lncRNA from 1 species
AUCCCUGUGGGAGAAACAACAUUUCGAAAGUAGAGGGAAGACGAGAAGUAGGGUUUGGCUUCAAGGACUUGUGUGUCAAGUUGUUUCCUAAGUGCUUCGAGUUGAGAAUCUUCAUAAAAAGUGUUGAGGUAAUCUGGGUGGAGGACGAUGUCUUUCCUUGGAAUUAAAUCAAGAAAGAAGAUGAAGUAUGUUGGGCUGCAUUGGACCAGCUCGAAUUGAAAAUGUGGUGUAUCUGUUGAGGAUUUGAGAUAGCCUUUAAUGUUAGUGAUGUUCAUUGCUCCUCCGUUUGGUAAGGACAAGUGUAGCCAACUCGACAAUAUGAAAUCAAUCUGGUUUCAUAAAAAAAAAAUUAAUCAUUAGUUUUUUUAAUAUUAUAUAAUUAUUAUAUUUCCUUUUAUUUAUACCCCAUCGGAUCAGAAUAGGUCAGGUUUCAAUUGAUUUAAGUUAAACCGGUUGAAUGAUAUCAAAUUCUAGAGGGAGGGGAGGGUUUUUUCUUUUCUUUUUUUCGUUUUUAAUAUUAUGGUUGUUAUACUUUUUAAUGGUUACUUUCCCUAGCAGUUUAUGUAUAGAUUGCCAGCAAAGUCAAUUACAAGAUACUGAGCGAUAUACACCUAUAUAUAAUUCAGGCAACUUAAUAGAGGAGCACAUCCUAUGUGUAAAAAUUAUCAUAUUCAUACUCCUAUAUAUAAUAUAAUUCAUCCAAAAAAAAUAUCGUAAUUGCUGGUAGUUUUUUUUUCAAAUUGUUAAUAUUUGUCCCCGUUUAAUCUGUAGGAAGAUCAAAAAAAGUUAUUUCUUAGAAAACCAUAUACGCUUCAAGUAAGUGUGUGUGAGAGAGAGAGAGAGAGAGUACAGGAGAGGAAUCGACUCCACGGUUGAUGCAAAGAGAACCUUGAGAAGCACCGCUCUGGUUCUGAUAGUAUUCAGCAUCAGGAGGGACUGAGGCGAAGGAGAUGACCAUGAAGGCGUUUAUCCACGGCUGAGAUUAGACCCACCAUUAAAUCUUUGUGAGGAGCCAAGAGAUGAGGAAACUCCAUUAACCUCUGCCCUCUCAUCGGCUCUUCCAUCUCAAAUGGUGUGGUCGAUAAGGCAAGUAUUGAGUUUCUGAUCUUUCUGGUGGAUAUUUUCUUCAAUGGUAGAGCUGAGAAUGAAUUUAGAUAAACAUGUUGAUGUGGGCAAAGCGGGAGGGUCAUUGUUUCUCUCGUACUAUGCCCUUCAAGCAACGUAAAGUCUACGUUGGAAUAAGAUCCACAUAAAAUAUUAUUCUUCCAUCAACAACAGAAUUUGUCAGCUCGUCGAAGACAAAUAUUAUUCUUCCAUCAACAACAGCCACAGAAAAUGAGUCACUUUCAACUAUUUUGCGAAUUUCAAACUUGAACAUUGACUAUAAUGGGCUGAUUAACUCAGUCCACUGACUGCAAUGAUUUUAUGGAGUUGCUUGACAUUUCUUCAAGCUUAACUCAGUUCACCAUUGUCCUUUUCUUAUUCAAACGAAAAUGACAAAUCGGGCCUUUAAAUUGUUUUUAACAUUUUCAUUACCUCUAGCCCUUCAAAAGCAUUCAAGUGCAGUUUUCAAUGUCUUUUACUCUAUUAGUUUUUUGUAUGGAUCUAUCCACUCGAUAAGCAAUUUUCAGCCACUAGAAAUCAACCUACAACUCUGGCACUAAUGAAUAUUUCAUUCAUCUUAUUUUUCUUGAACAUUAAAGGGUAAGGUUGAACCACGACCGAUCAAAUCAUGUGAGAUUUUGAGUGAUUUUGGAUGAAAUGUGAGAAAAUGUAAGAGAAGAAGAAAAAAUCAUUAUUUUCUUCCUAUUGCGUUACAUUCUGUUCUACCAAAUGUACACUGCAAUUAAAAGAUGUUUUUUGCAGGUUGCAUCAAAGUUUCUGCAUGUGAAAUGGAGGUAAAACUAUACUAAAUUGCUAAUGCAUACCAUUCCUUUUUAUUUUUCUUCUGUAGAUCCAUAGCAUAAGGAUAAUAUUCAAUCUUGAUUCUCAAGCGGGAUCAACCUCAGAAGUCAGAUGUUAUAAACCUUUUGUAUGGCUCCUAAUACUCUAUCGGUGACUUCUGGACCAAACAAUCUUGGAAAGUUUGUGCCUAGAUCAAUCUCAAUAGUUUUUUUCUUUAUUAGCUCAUCUCGCUUCAUCAUAUAAGCCUUCUCUUCCUCUCCCACCAAUCUUUCUCCACGAGCGCAAUGAUCCAACCAAAUCCCUAAAACUUCCUGGGCAGUAGGAUCUAUGUGAUUUUUUACUAUCUCCUCCAUUCGUUCUGGUCCACCCGCUUGAGCUCCUAUUUGAAUCAUAACGACUGUAGGCGAGAGGACAGAACGGAGAUAAAGGGAUGAAGAGACGUAGGGUUGAACCUCAGGGAGUUUCGCAAGCAUCUGCCUAUGAGUGUCUAACUGGGUGUUCUCAUAGAAAGUUUGAAGAUAGUCUGGAGAAAGGACGGGGUCCUUCCGUGGAGGCAAGUCAAGAAUGAAGACCAGUGAUGUUGGACUACUCUGGAUUAGCUCAAUCAUGAAAUUUGGUGCAUCUGUUGAAGGGUUCAGAUAGGCAGAUAGGCUAGUUAUGUUCAAUGCUCCGCCGGUAGGUAGCUUACAGUGCAGCCAACUUCCCAAUAUGAAAUCCACCUGAAAAAUGUCCAGCUUUCAAUUAGAUUUUUUUCUAUAAAUUUUAAUACAAUUUUGAGAGGUUGAGAAACAAAAAUAACUAAAUCAGAUUGAUAACAAUAGUGCAAAUCCAGGCAAGUACUAUGAUUUGCAGCUUGUUUCAUUUGAAGCCAAUUACAAUAUAGGAUUCCAUGGGGCAUGAUGCCAUAACCAAAGAAAGACUAUACAUGAAAAGGCUGCAAAUUCAACUUCGACAUAAGACUUCAAUCCUCAUAACUAAGUAAGAAGGUUCAGUACUUAGCUGCUACAAAUAAAUUAUGUCUCAGUAAUUUUGAAAUUAGCAUUCGAUAAAGAAGCCAGGACUUUGAUUACACAAAAACUAAUGAAAGCAUACACAUGACUGCAUUAGCUUUUUGUUAUUGUAAUUUCCCAUAUUAUAUUUGUUGAAUAAUAAGUAUAAAGCCAUCCCUCUCCCGCAAAUUAGUUAAGGGUUAUUCCAGGUUCCUCAUGCAUUACUCAGUUACGGAAUCAAACCAAGCUUUUCAUGCGAUUCCAAGACCUAGUACAGCAAACUGAACCAAAAUCUGAUAAGCACUAUACCAGCUAUACAAAGCAUUAACAGACAUAUUAUUAUGUGAUCCAACUGAGUGCAAAACUGUCCCCAAUUAAGAGGGAAAUAGCCCAAUUCUAAAUUUUUUCUUGUGGGAUGCAUGCCAAAACUGCUAGUUUCCAAGAAAUUAGCCAAGCACAAUAUAUAGGGUCCAUCAAAAUGUAAGAUGGAAACUAAUCUACAAAGCAAACACAGAUUAAGCAUAUCUAAAUGGAUUAAUUAAUUAAGUCUGAUUGCAGCUACCAAGACAAUCUACCUUCUAAAUAAUUAGCGUUGAUAAAUACUAAUCGGUAAGACUACUAGUCAUAGCAACAAGCACUGGCUUAGAACUUUAGAAUUAUCGGUGGCGCAUGAGCAAAUAACAAAUAAAACAACGAACCAAUUCAAAGUUUCAAACUGUGCUACAAGAAGUGAGAUGGAGGAAAUUACCUGGGAAGACUGAAGACCUGAUCUGAUAUGAAGUGAAGCUUGGGCGCUCCCACUUUCGUUCUGGCAGUGUUGUACGUCAAGGGGAAGUGUACAAGGGAGGAGGUGUGAGCCAAGUCGAUCCUCCACCGUUGAUAAGAGAUUAACCAUGAGAUCCCUGUGUGGGGCAGAGACAAAUGGGAAUUCUAUGAAUUUCUGACGUCCCUGGUUGUGGAGAUCCAUUUGGGACGCAGAUGAAGAUGAGGAGGAGGAGGAGGAGAGUGAUGCAGUGGCUGAGAUUUUUGUUCUUGAGGAUUUGAGGGGAGGAGGAGAUGGUAACGAGUGUGGUAAGUGUAAAAUUGGAGAGAAGCUGACAGCCAUUGGUUUAGAUUUUGGAUUUACAAAUUUGAAUCACUAAUAUUUUGGUUAACUGCUUUAGUUCCCAACUUGUCAUGACAAGGAAAUCUCUACAAUGUUUUUAUUAUUAUUAUUAUUCUAUUUUCUUAAAACGUUUGAUGACCAGAAAAUCAUGAUCCAAAUUUUAAAAUCCUUAAACCUAAAUUUUAAUUUUUUUUAACCUAAAAACACAUUAGAUAGAUCUCUAAAACCCUAUUUCUAACCAUAAAACACAUUUUAAUUAACAUAAAAACUCAAAAUUAAAUCAAAUUAAAAAAAUUAGUGUGCUCUUAUUUAUUUUUUUGAACAUUGUUAAAGGUAGAAACAACAUUCAUUGAAUUGUUCUUUAAAGAUAAAUCUAUAGACACCAACACUAUAGUUAUUAGCGGCUAAAAAUUGGUUACUGAAAAGUUUUCUCUCUCCUCUGUUUUUUCUAAUGAAUUUCUCUCUUUUAACAAUAGUCAAGAAUUAAAAUGCAAAACAAAUAAAGUUUAAUGACUAAAAUAUAAAAGUUAAAAAGAAAAAGGAUCAAAUAUGCAAAUUGUGAAACUUACAUGAUCAAAUUGAAGUUUUUCACACUUUUUGAAAAUAGAAAAAGGUUCUAUUCUUGAAAUUUGAAUUUUAGUUUUUUUUCUUUCAACUUUUCUUUUAAGAAAAACCUAAAAAUCAAUUUCAUAAAUAUCUUUAAUUUAACCUAAGAAUAUCAAAUGCCAUAUUAGGUAUGCAAAGCAUACUAAUCAAAAUAAAUCCCAAAAUAUAAAAUCAUUAUAUUAGAACUUGUAAGGAUGAAAUUAAAAAGAAAUUAAGUUCAAUAAUUAAAGUAUAAAAAAUAAAAAAUUCAAGGACUUAGAAAGGAAAAAUUGGAUGUGAACAAUAUCAUCAACAAAAUGUAAGAGAGUGCAAAAUAGAAUAAUAAUUAAAAACCCAAAUCUUUUAGUUUAUAUUACAAUGUCAUUAAAAUUAUCUAUUUUUUAAAUACGAUAAACAAUACAUUUAAUAAAAAUUUUGUGUUAAUUUUUGUGAAUAAUUUUAAAAUCAUAAAAUACAUUUGUCUCUCUAAAACAUAUUAUAUUAUGCUUCCUUAAUUUUAUUCACUAACACACUGGUCUUUAAUGCUAUAAUAUUGAUUUGGAUAAAAUUAAUAUAUUGAGUUGCUAAUUGUCACACACACAUAAGUGAGACAAAUACAUCACCACCAUCAACUAACUUCUCACCAUAUGAUAUUUAGUAAGUAAAUUCAAAUAAUUAUGAACAAUAUAUAUUAAUGAAUUCUAUUUUUAUUAGUUAUUUCACAUGCACUAUACUACAUGUGGUAUCAACAUUAUGGAUGCUUUUUAUGGUAUCAUGAAUUAUUGUUUUUAAUUGAGAAAUGGAAAGAUAGUGUGUCCACUUAAUAAAAUAAAUUAAAACAAUAAAAUAAAUUAAAAAAAUAUUUUUUAACACUAAUUAAAUACUAAAGUAGAAACUUAAUUUUACUAAUAAAAGCAAAAGAUAGAUUCACUUGUAAAUAUUUUACAUCGAUUAUUCUUUUAUUUAUACAUUUCCUAAAAUCAAAUAGGCAAACAUAUCCCAUAAAAUAAAAUAAAGAAACCUACCUUUUUGUUUUAAUACAAUAACCUUAUUUAUAGAAAUUUAAAUCCCAAAUUCAAUACAAUAUUAACUGUCAAUUAUUGUAUAAAGACUUCUGAAUUCUUUUAAACUUCUUGAUUGAUUUGAACAUACACCAAUUUUAACUUCCAUGGAUCACUAAGAAGAAGUAAAGAAAACAUGAUUAUAUCCUAAAAACACCUCUUAUAAUUCCCAAGAUUAUGUCUGCGCAUGCUUGAGCUAAAAUCCAUCUCAAUUGCUCUACUCUUUAUGAUUGGAUCCCUUUUCUCCAGUUUGGAAUAAAACGUGUGGUUGUGUUUUAAAAAUGUUUUUGAAAAAAAUUAAAAUUUUUUAUUUUUUUUCUUUACUUCAAAUAAAUAUUUUUUUGUGUUUUCUAAUCAUUUUAAUGUGCUGAUGUUAAAAAUAAUUUUUUUAAAUAAAAAAAUAUUCUUUUGAUGCAUUUCUGAGUAAAAAACACUUGAAAAAACAACCGCUAUUAUACUCCCAAAUACCCUCUAAAAAUGAUCAAGCAAUGUAUAUAGAUGAUCACAUACAAAUUGACAUUACAUUUCUUCUAAUAGAUGUAACCUUAUUUGAAAGGGGAAAAAAAAACAAGAAAAACAAUCUCCUGGGUUGAUAUGAUUUGGCCCAAUGUUGUUCUUUAGUCAUGUGUUGGUAUUGCCCUAAAUGAUUGAUGACAUGGUGAUUAAAGAGGUUCGCUCAUAUUCUUUAUUUUUAAUAUUCAAGUAUUGAGGCUAUAAUUUAUUUUUUUUAUUAAACGCAUUUACAUACACCGUAUUGAUAUGAGAAAUGUAUCUCUUAACUGAGAAUCUAUAAAAAAAAAAAAUGUAUUGAAGUAGCUAAGAGCAUCUUUAAUGACAAAAACCAUUUAGAAAAACUAAAUUGAAUAGGCAUGCUUGAGCUUAAAUCCACCUAGUCAGGACUCUUGGCAUGGAACAGAACUUCACUCAAGUUCUAUUAUUCGUAUGUCGUCCUCUUAGGAGUGUUUUAAAAAUAUAAUAAUUGUUAUUUUUCAAAGUAUUUUUUAUAAGAAAUUGAAUCAAAUUAAUAUUUUUUUAUUUUUUUAAAAUCAUUUUAACACCAACACAUUAAAAUAAUUUAAAAAAAUCAAAAAACAUUAAUUUGAAAUAAAAAAAAUAAAAAAAUUUUAAUUUUUUAAAAAAUACUUUUAAAACACAAAAUUAAGCAGCUCAUCCUCUUGAACUCGCCGAAACUCACUUCUCCAUCAUCUGUGUGCAUUAUAAGCCAUCAAAUACACAGGAAGAAAAAUAUGAGCAUGUAAUUAAAACCAGUACCUCGCAAUUUAUAAAAUUAACUUGGGUAAAGAAUUGUUUGAAAGUUCCAUAUCCUAAUUUUACACUGCUAUGUGAUAAGACAAGUUAACUUUGACAUCUUUUGGUGUCAGUUUACAAUUUCAAAAACUAGCAGCCUUGGACAUGAAUACCUUAGGACACAUAUUAAAAAGUAGUUCUAAGACAAUUUCAUGCCAAUUUAUUGUCGAACAAACCACUCAUUACAUGAUGAUGAAUUCUCGUUAGUUCGUGACAUAACUUUUUGAUUUCUACUUUUAGUUUUUUACUUUGAAAACAAGACAUUUCAUAAGUUCCACGAGCACAAUUCUACUCCUUUAUUUCACAACAGGUUCAUAAUUUAACUUCCAAAUCUAAUAUGUAAGCAAUGACAACAGGUUAAAUUACAAUCUCGGUGAGCUUCCUCAACCAUCUCUUUGAUCUCUGUAGGAGAAACUUUCACCAAGCUCCUUGGCUAUUCGCUUGAAGUCAUCUACAGAGUUUUUUCCCUGAAACAAAAUAUAUUAAAUAAUAAUUCAUCAACAUGAGAAAGGCCUCGUUCUAUUCCUUGCCUUUUUCAGUAGACAUUGCUAAAAGCACUUAUAUUUAGACAAUUCCCAUUAUACAAAAAAAUGUAUUUUUGUUGGGGCAUCAACUCCCUCAUUGUUAAGAGUAUAAAGAAGGGUUUUGAUCUCCCAUGAACAAGAACCAUCUUAAACUAUUAUUGAAGCAGUGUAGCUGAUACAAUCCAAUCCACGGGAUUCGCAUCAGUAGCCCUAUUUUUCAAGAAGUUUAUACUUAAAAAUCAUUGUAUAUAAAGAAUUACCUAGCUGCCAACUCAAAAGCAAUAUCCUUUUCAAAAACAAGUGAAACUAUUUUAAGAGAUCGUUGAUUGCAUUCACUUCAAACCAAUAGGCAUAAAAGGGCCUAUUGAUAUGUGUGUAAAUAUGGAAAACCAAUUCAAUCUAGAGAUGAUAAAACUCUAUUAUGCUGUUUUGGGAAAACCAGAAUUGCAAAAUGCGCACAAAUACUAAAACUUUCACCCAUACAUCCACAAGAAAAAUGGCAUUGUAAAACACAGUAGAUAAAAGAAAAGCUCAAUGCAUGUACAUAAUAAGGCACAAAAGGUAGCUCUUCUGUCAUCUCGAAACCAAAUGCCCUGUUAUUAGACAUUUUUUUGUUACAAUUGUUUUGGGACAAAAAAAAAACUCAUCAAAUCUGCUAAUGUCAAAAAUAAUUUUUUAAAAAACAAAAACUUUAUUUUAAUAUAUUUUUAAACAAAAAAACAUGUUAAAAAUUACUUGUUAUCACAAUACCAAACAUGUUCUAAUCAUUCUGAUUCCUUCUGAUCCUUCAAGGUAGGUAUGGAAAUAUCUAUAAAUGGUGUAAGGUUUAAGUCGUGAAUUGAGAGGUUAACUUAUAGAUCAACUUGAAUCUAUCUUCAAAAGUUAUUAUUUUAGAUAAAAUAAUUAAAAAAACUAAAACCAUGCUUCAGUACAAAUUAAUCUCUUCACGUACAAGAUCCUCAUUAAUGAUAUGAUUUAUGUACGUUUUCUAAAAUCAAAUAGCCAAACCUAUCCCAUAAAAUAAAAUAAAGAAACUUACCUUUUUGUUUAAAUGCAAUAACCUUAUUUACAGAAAUUUAAAUCCCAAUUUCAAUACAAUAUUAACUGUCAAUUAUUGUAUAAAGACUACUGAAUUCUUUUAAACUUCUUGAUUGAUUUGAACAUACACCAAUUUUCACUUCCAUGGAUCACUAAGAAGGAUUGAAGAAAACAUGAUCAUAUCCUAAAAACACCUCUUAUAACUCCCAAGAUUCUGUCUGCCACAUCUUGUCCAAAUUGAAUAGGCAUGCUUGAGCUCAAAUCCAUCUCAACUGCUCUACUCUUUAUCAUUCGAUCUCUUUUCUCCAGAUGAUCCCUCUCAUUUUCCUCAAUAAUAGUCGUUCCUCCUUUACAAACACAACUAUCCAUCCAUAGUUCAAGAACCUCAUUAGCUAUGGGAUCAAUAUUGUCGCGAAUAAUUUCUUCAGCACGCUCCGUCGUUCCACCGUCCUCACAUGUUAUGCUAACCAAAAUCCCUGUGGGAGAAACAACAUUUCGAAAGUAGAGGGAAGAUGAGAAGUAGGGUUUGGCUUCAAGGACUUGUGUGUCAAGUUGUUUCCUAAGUGCUUCAAGUUGAGAAUCUUCAUAAAACGUUUUGAGGUAAUCUGGGUGAAGAACAAGGUCUUUCCUUGGAAUUAAAUCAAGAAAGAAGAUGAAGUAUGUUGGGCUGCAUUGGACCAGCUCGAAUUGAAA